GCAGCAGCCGCGGUAAUACAAAGGGUGCAAGCGUUAAUCGGAAUUACUGGGCGUAAAGCGUGCGUAGGCGGUGAGUUAAGUCUGCUGUGAAAUCCCCGGGCUCAACCUGGGAAUGGCAGUGGAUACUGGCUCGCUAGAGUGUGUCAGAGGAUGGUGGAAUUCCCGGUGUAGCGGUGAAAUGCGUAGAGAUCGGGAGGAACAUCAGUGGCGAAGGCGGCCAUCUGGGACAACACUGACGCUGAGGCACGAAAGCGUGGGGAGCAAACAGGAUUAGAUACCCCCGUAGUCCCUGUCUCUUAUAC
rnacentral:rRNA from 1 species